rnacentral:lncRNA from 1 species
GACCUUUGAAUCUAAUUGAAGGAAAACAAACAAACAACAGCCAUGGCAUCUCGUUUUUGGGGACAGGUACUGAGUUGCUGACUCCAAUUCUUUGUUGCAUCCUUAUACGGUAGUAACUAAUAUGUAUAAAUUUCGUCCUCGUCAAAUGCAUUAAUACCUUUGUCUUUGUUCUGUUCCACCCAAUAUCAGGGAGACAGUGACUCCGAGGAGGAGGUGGAUGAGAUUGAGUCAGAACAAGGGAGCGAUAGUGAAAAAUCAGAAGCUUGGAAGUGGGUAAUAUCAAAUCAGUGCCGAGAAAAUGGUUGUAGUGGAGAAGAAGGAUGGCAUGAUGUUAUCUGAAACUUGGAAAAGUGUGGUGCAGAUAAGAGUUGGUGUGCAUGCUGUGCUCGGCUACUUUUCCUUGUGGGUACCAUACGACAAUUCGUAUGUGGUCUGCUACUGAUGUUACAUGAUGUAUUCGUAGAUGAAACUGACCUGAUGGGGCUGUUACAGUUUGUGAUGGGAGACAUGGUUACGGAACUGGACGAGGCAGAAGUAAGAGAUGCAGAGAACGCCACGGAACAGAGGGAGGCAUGCAAUGUAGCUGACGGCGAAGGUCCCCCUGCACCAAAGUUGCCUAGUGGAAAGGUAUCACUUGAACAUGUAUCUGUUUGUUGUUUGGGUGCAUUCGUCAGUUCAAAAUACCACUGGCUUACCCGUGCGAUGGCUAGUUCGCAGGAUGUUAAAUGCCAUGGUUACUUGUGUUGUAGACAGUUUUUUUAGGUAAGGGCUUUUUGGGCUACAGGAAUUUAAAUGCAUUUCGUACAUAUCUUAAGUAAAUAGUUCAGGAAUAGUAC